AUUAGAGUUUGAUCCUGGCUCAGAACGAACGCUGGCGGCAGGCCUAACACAUGCAAGUCGAGCGGAUGACGGGAGCUUGCUCCUUGAUUCAGCGGCGGACGGGUGAGUAAUGCCUAGGAAUCUGCCUGGUAGUGGGGGACAACGUUUCGAAAGGAACGCUAAUACCGCAUACGUCCUACGGGAGAAAGCAGGGGACCUUCGGGCCUUGCGCUAUCAGAUGAGCCUAGGUCGGAUUAGCUAGUUGGUGGGGUAAUGGCUCACCAAGGCGACGAUCCGUAACUGGUCUGAGAGGAUGAUCAGUCACACUGGAACCGAGACACGGUCCAGACUCCUACGGGAGGCAGCAGUGGGGAAUAUUGGACAAUGGGCGAAAGCCUGAUCCAGCAAUGCCGCGUGUGUGAAGAAGGCCCUCGGGUUGUAAAGCACUUUUAUCAGGAACGAAAUACCACGGGUUAAUACCCUAUGGGGCUGACGGUACCUGAGGAAUAAGCACCGGCUAACUUCGUGCCAGCAGCCGCGGUAAUACGAAGGGUGCAAGCGUUACUCGGAAUUACUGGGCGUAAAGCGUGCGUAGGUGGUUGAUUAAGUCUGUCGUGAAAGCCCUGGGCUCAACCUGGGAAUUGCGAUGGAAACUGGUUGACUAGAGUGUGGCAGAGGGUAGUGGAAUUCCUGGUGUAGCAGUGAAAUGCGUAGAGAUCAGGAGGAACAUCCGUGGCGAAGGCGACUGCCUGGGCCAACACUGACACUGAGGCACGAAAGCGUGGGGAGCAAACAGGAUUAGAUACCCUGGUAGUCCACGCCCUAAACGAUGCGAACUGGAUGUUGGGUGCACUUUGGCACGCAGUAUCGAAGCUAACGCGUGAAGUUGACCGCCUGGGGAGUACGGUCGCAAGAUUAAAACUCAAAGGAAUUGACGGGGACCCGCACAAGCGGUGGAUGAUGUGGAUUAAUUCGAUGCAACGCGAAAAACCUUACCUACCCUUGACAUGUCUGGAAGAUUCAAGAGAUUGAAUUGUGCUCGCAAGAGAACCGGAACACAGGUGCUGCAUGGCUGUCGUCAGCUCGUGUCGUGAGAUGUUGGGUUAAGUCCCGCAACGAGCGCAACCCUUGCCAUUAGUUGCUACAUUCAGUUGGGCACUCUAAUGGGACUGCCGGUGACAAACCGGAGGAAGGUGGGGAUGACGUCAAGUCCUCAUGGCCCUUAUGGGUAGGGCUUCACACGUCAUACAAUGGUCGGGACAGAGGGAUGCCAAGCCGCGAGGUGGAGCCAAUCUCAGAAACCCGAUCGUAGUCCGGAUCGCAGUCUGCAACUCGACUGCGUGAAGUCGGAAUCGCUAGUAAUCGCGGAUCAGCAUGUCGCGGUGAAUACGUUCCCGGGUCUUGUACACACCGCCCGUCACACCAUGGGAGUGGGUUUCACCAGAAGUAGGUAGCCUAACCGCAAGGGGGGCGCUUACCACGGUGAGAUUCAUGACUGGGGUGAAGUCGUAACAAGGUAGCCGUAAAU
rnacentral:rRNA from 1 species